UAAAGAUAAGACAAGAGUAACUACGAGGAAUACGUAGCGAUGAAGUAAUCAGACCUACACUGACGUACACAAUCGCAGCACCGACCACGCGGGCACGAUUCAUUACGCUGUUUGCGUACGGAUGUACGACGAAAAUAAUCGCACCUCGAAUAAUGGUCAGGAUAGAAUGAUUGGUACACUCCCGUCACACUCGGAACUUUUCACAAGUUGCUCACAAGUUGUCCAGUGCAUUGGGAAAAACUGUGCAUGAAUCACCACGGGAGAUCUGCUCUGAUGAACGUACUAAAGCCGAAUGCUGGACAGGAUAGUUUUCGUUUCGAGACUGGGGUAGCUCGCACAGUGGGGAAAACGACGAAGGAGGGGAUGACGAGGGGUGGGAAGACUCACAACUGAUAAUCUAAUCUCUCGUUGUGCCUCGUUAUGCAUUACAUAUUUCUAUACACGUGUUGCACUCGCGUCUCUGUUACGUGUAUCCUGGAACAAGGGUAGAAUGGGAGAGUUGGAGCCAUCCGCUGUCCAGAGCUGCCAAUUAAUGCACGAUCAAUCACGGACGACGACGAGAUUACAGCCGGUUACUCAGACUUUUGCAACAUUAAUGUUUACAAGUUUGACAAAUGUUAAGAUUAAGGCCGAUCUCACUAUAUAUAUUUGUUUAUUUUAUUUAAACUUUUAAUACUGUUAAUAUUAAUUUUGCCUUUGUAAUAAAUAACAAGCGAGGGCUAGAACUUUUUGCAAGUUAAUCAGAGUCGAAAACAUAUGUCUAAGAUUAAAAGCGAGAUGCGUUUCCAAUUAAACGCGAAAAACAACAUGUGAAAUAAUCGCAUAGUUAAAUAUAACAUUGCAUAAAUAUGUGUGCAAGCAUCGAUUAUAUAUUCUCAGAAGUUCCGACAUAGGCCAACAGGUCUCUUGAACUCUCUGAUGGUAAUAGCGUUUUUUGCGACCGCGAGUAUAUUAAUCACCUGCAAUAACGUGCCAUCGGCAAAUAUUUUCAAGGUUAUAUUAGGUAUAUGCAAAGGUUUCAGUCAUUUUUUUGCAUUCGUUUUAUUAUAGAUGCAUAAUAUAUGCAAUACAAUUCAGUCAUCAAAAUAUUUGUCUUCGUUUCUUACGAUUUUCUGCCAUUUCUCUUUAAAUUUCCGCUUGCUCGCCGCGAUCAUUGUUAUUUCUCAAAAAAUUAUAUUUAUUGUUAAAUCAUGACAUGUGGCAUUUUACAAACUUUAAUGUCAACUCUUGAGAAACGUAAAAAAGCGAGAAUUUCUUUCAAGUUUAAAUAAUAUUAUAAUACCAGAGCGUUGAGAAAAAGAAAGACUAAAACUUUGCAUAUACCUAACAUAUGUAGAAAGCAUCAAGAUAUAUUAUAUUUCCAUAAAUGUUAUUCCGUUUUAUUUCCUUUCGAAUUGCAUCGCAUUGCGUAUUUCUCAAGUGUAAUGACACAAACAACGUCUCGUAAAAAUGUCUCGUUCGAAUAAGGAGCGCACACGUGUCUACAGAUUGCUAGAGCGUGCUAUGAUUCGUACGGAAAUUGCUCAUCGAUCACAAUUAUGCAACUAAAAACGCGAGCUGAGUGCUAUACGCGAAAAACAAAAUGAAUAGGUCGGGACUUUUCAAUGGGAAAAUUUGUAGCAUUCUCAUCAUAUUUUCGCGUCGGAAAACAUUUAUAGCAGACACGUACACGCAACGAUUGGUAUACUUAAUACCGCGAAUAUUGCGCGCUUUUUAUGGAAUUUAGUCAAUAAAUCAUCACCAAGAUGU